ACGCACGCUGGCGGCGUGCUUAACACAUGCAAGUCGAACGGAAAGGCCCUGCUUUUGUGGGGUGCUCGAGUGGCGAACGGGUGAGUAACACGUGAGUAACCUGCCCUUGACUUUGGGAUAACUUCAGGAAACCGGGGCUAAUACCGGAUAGGAGCUCCUGCUGCCUGGUGGGGGUUGGAAAGUUUCGGCGGUUGGGGAUGGACUCGCGGCUUAUCAGCUUGUUGGUGGGGUAGUGGCUUACCAAGGCUUUGACGGGUAGCCGGCCUGAGAGGGUGACCGGCCACAUUGGGACUGAGAUACGGCCCAGACUCCUACGGGAGGCAGCAGUGGGGAAUAUUGCACAAUGGGCGGAAGCCUGAUGCAGCAACGCCGCGUGCGGGAUGACGGCCUUCGGGUUGUAAACCGCUUUCGCCUGUGACGAAGCGUGAGUGACGGUAAUGGGUAAAGAAGCACCGGCUAACUACGUG
rnacentral:rRNA from 1 species